AUGCCAAGGGGUGGAAUGAUGGGAGCAGUCAUAAAGGAUACAUCACUCAAGACAAGCAGGAGAACUUCUAGACAGUAUCAACUUCUUAGCAAACUAAAGAGCGGGUCAACUAAAGGAAUGGCUCAUCACUAUGCAUGCAAAAAGGAACAGAGCUCAGAAGGAAAGUCAUCAGACAUCCGUGGCACAGUUAUAAAGGGAGAAGUUGGAAGGAAGUUGUGAGCACUAAGCCAGACCAUAAAUAAAUGUCAAAGGAAAACCA
rnacentral:lncRNA from 1 species